rnacentral:tRNA from 1 species
CAGAGCGUGGCUGAAAUAGCUAAGCAUCUCCCUUACACCGAGAAGACAUCCAUGCAAACUGGGUCGCCCUGA